GUCAGUGCGGUGUAGUGGUUUGAGUGUUGGACUAUGACUCUGGAGACCAGAGUUUGAAUCCCUGCUCGGCCA